ACGUGGAAAGCUGAGUUAGCAGGAGUGCAGGUGAUUAUUUCCCUCUGCUGGACAUUCAGGAAACCACACCUGGAAUAACGCCCCAUUUUCAUCCUCUGUGCACGUGUUCUCUUCUUAGGGAGGUACAAUGCUCAAGACACAAAGGUCAGGUGCUACAACAAUGGGAUUCUAGGGGGAAAAAAAAGUCACAGAAAAAAAAAGAACAUUGGAGCAAGGGCUUAAGCUGUUGUAUCAGCGUUGUUGGAGGUCAAAUGGUAGACUGCAAAAAGAGGCUGAGAAACGUAUCUUAAGUUGGCUCUGCUUUGAGAAACUCUUGAUGUAUUUCAUCAGCCCAACAGACUGCAGGAAUCACUGCAAUGCUUCACAAUAAUAGACCAUGAACCAGAGCUCCUGGAACAGACUCUGCCCAGUGCUGGGGCCACAACACUGCUGGAUGGCAUGCCAUGACUGCACCCACCCUACUGAGCAUCAUGGUGUCCUAAGGGCCUAGAAUGUUUUUUCCUCCUCACUUGUUCAGCUGUUAGCUGUCGCCUGCAACAGAGAUCCAACAGAUCACUGAGAAAUCACUUCUUCAAACAGGACCCAGGAGUAACUAGAAAGCACAAAGAAAUUUCAUGUCUUGUUGCUUGUAGUGAUAAGUUCUCUCCAGCAGUAGCUGUAAAUCAGUGCUUUUUCUCUGUCAUUUCUCACCAAAACCCUUAAAUGAAAGGAAAUCGUGGGCAUGGAAAUGAGAGUAAAAUGCUUGAUGGUCUCUAAGGUUUUGCAGCGUACAUUUUCUUCUAAAAUUAAUGGAAUUUGCACCUGCAAAUCCCUCAUGUGGCUUUGAACAUCCCAGUCGACUAAUAUUUAAACUGCUGACAUUUAUUGCAAGUCCCCAGGAGUGAGCACUGCCAGGACCUCCUGGGACUUGAGAAUACCAGCAGCCAGCAAGAAGGAAGAUAUUUUCCUUAUACAUAGAGGAAAUGUUUGUUUUCAUCACUACCGAUCCGCUUUUGCACUUACAAGUCCUCAAUUUCAUCUGUUAAUGAAGUUUUUAAUUGAUUCAUUGAACAACUAUCUUUCAAUGGAAUGUUUCCCACCCACCAUCUACUCUGGGUUAGAUGUCUUAAAUUAAACACCUCUUUGGCUGCAUGCUGGGUUAAUUUGUCCAAGCACUAUAUCUUUUAACUUUGGCAGUGCUUAGAUACCCUAUUCACUCCAGGACCACCUUGUCUCCCCUACAGUGUUCAACCCAUUGUGAAGAAUGGUUCUUGUAGGAGCCUUCAGCUAAUACUAUGGGGCAUUAGUGGGCAUUACUGACAGGAGGCACUGGGGUGAUUGUUAAAGCCACAUUUCAGGUGAAGUUUGGAAUGAGAAUUGAGAAUGGGAAUUUUUGGUACCUUGUUGCAGUUUUCUUGUAGUUUUUGUCAAAUCUUCUUGAAUGCCCUCAGUGAAGGCUAAAAUUAACUACUUCAGCUUGUUACAUCCAUAGUGGCAGUACUGCCUGUUCAUUUAUGAGGUGUACUUCAAAGAUACAACCCAGAUUGUGAGAUUGUGUCUUGUUGGUUUUCACUGCUGGAAGCUGGCUACAAAAAAAAAAAAAAGAUGUUUGGGGUCACUCAUUGUAAUAUUGCAAAAUGUUCUUUGAGAUGUAACUUCCUUGUUACGUAUUGUUAGAUAUUCUUGUUUUCAUGUAAUAGGAUAGGUUGAAUGAAAUCAAUAAUUUCAGAGACACAGGAAAGGCCUGAGUAUGCUCGGAAAGUCACUGGCAAAGAGUGGAGAACAGUUACUGUAUCCUCCAACCCCUGACUCAUACAGGCCUGCCAGCUUUGAUGAAAUAUCCAUAUAUGGAAUCAUAGGAUCAUGGAAUCAUCCAGGCUGGAAAAGUCCUUCAAGAUCAUCAAAUCCAACUAUCAAUUUGACCUUCUGUGUCCUAUUGCUAAACCACCUCUCUCAGUGUUAUGUCCAUAUGUCUCUUAAAUACUCCACAACUUCCCUGGACAGCCUGUUCCAGUUCUUGACCCCCUUCUCCAUUAAGAAAUUAUUUCUAAUGUCCAAUCUAAACUUCCCCUAGUGCAACUUGAGACCAUUUCUUUGCAUCCUAUAACUUGUCACCUAAAAAGAGAAACCUACAUCCUGCUCACCGACUUCUCUUUUUAUGUAGCUGUGGAUGAGAGUGAUAAGGUCUCCCUCAGUUUCCUUUUGUCUAGACCGAACAGCCUCAAUUCCUUAAGUACUUCCUUUUAUCUUGUUUUCUAGUCCCCUCACCAGUUUCAUUGCUCUGAUCUGCACACAUGCUGGAGUGUUGUGGUUUUGUGAAUUCUGUUGUCGGUAUUCCACAGCAGAACUUCAUGCGGAACAGUGGCAGCUAAAGAGUUAAUGCUCUGGUUCUGUGUUACCGGCAUUUUGGGUUCCCGGAGGGGAGGGGAGACAUCCCCGAAGGACUUAGCGCGAGGAUGAAGCGAGGUGGGACUCCGGACCGGGCUGGACCCCAGCAGCUCUAUGCCUUUGGCCGUCUCAGCUUGCUGCUGAGCAAAGCACGUGCUUCCCUUCGCAGUGUCGUGGUUUGUCUCCGACUUUGGGUACUCUCGUCUCUCUUGUUUUGUUUGAUUUGGUUACGUUUCCUGUUCCUCAGAUAGUUGCUAUUGUGUUUUCUCUUUGUUAAAGUUAUCUGCUGGCUCUCUGCCCUUCCCCCUCUCUCGAAGCUCGUGGUUCGGGUAGUGCUGCAAAGUUUCCUUUUUGUUUUCCUUCGCUCCUUUGUCUCUCUGUUUUUUUGUUUGUUUUUUUCUCUCUUCCCGGGGUCUUUCCAGCUACUCUACCCCAACCCCGAGUAUAGGACCCAGCAUUGAGCUUUGGUGGAUGUCAUGUGGUUGGAUGUGUCCCAUCGAUCCAGCCUAUACAGAUCCCUCUGCAAAGCCUACCCACCAAGAUUUAUCUCCAGUUCCACCUAACCUGGUAUUUACUGCAGUAUGUUUGCCAUUGAUGGAAACAAGAACGCAUGCUUCUCUGUCUGCAUUUGGAAAAUGUCGAUUUAUCUCUUUUUAAGUUAGUUUUGUAAAGAGUUCUCAUGUUCAAGCAAAGAUUG